rnacentral:sRNA from 1 species
GACCGCUGUCGAAAGGCAGCUAAGGCCAGACGGACAGCCGGGUCGAAUGCCGA